ACGUUAUCGGGAUUACUGGGCGUAAGCGCGCGUAGGUGGUUUGUUAAGUUGAAUGUGAAAUCCCCGGGCUCAACCUGGGAACUGCAUCCAAAACUGGCAAGCUAGAGUAGGGUAGAGGGUGGUGGAAUUUCCUGUGUAGCGGUGAAAUGCGUAGAUAUAGGAAGGAACACCAGUGGCGAAGGCGACCACCUGGACUCAUACUGACACUGAGGUGCGAAAGCGUGGGGAGCAAACAGGAUUAGAUACCCUGGUAGUCCACGCCGUAAACGAUGUCAACUAGCCGUUGGGAGUCUUGAACUCUUAGUGGCGCAGCUAACGCAUUAAGUUGACCGCCUGGGGAGUACGGCCGCAAGGUUAAAACUCAAAUGAAUUGACGGAAUUACUCCACAAUAAGAGCACAACCAUGAUGUGCUUCGCGCGCACCUCGGCCGGUACCCAGCCAAAGUUGUUUCUUCAGUUGCGGGUGGAGCUUCACGGAUGUGUGAUGGCUGAGCAACGUUGGCCUCUGCAAGCCGCAAGCUUCCCUGUCGGAAGCUCCGGGCUGUUUUGUCCGCAGGACUCCACCUGAAUGAAUUGGUUAAUUGGGGGGGCGGCCCGCCCCAAGAAGCCGGAACCUCGAGCGGUUUCCAAAAACGAUUGCGGGACCGUAAACUGAGCCGCCAAGUGGGCGGACCCUAGUUUAGCCCCUGCAGGCAUCCCUUUCGAAUGAGGUUCUGCGUGGAACAGAGUAAUUGGAGGGUAUAGCGCACCUCCAGCUUUUUUUGCAGGUUGACUAACCCAAAUUUUAGAAACCAGGCGUGUUUUGUCCUGUCAUCGAACAAUAGUGGGUCUUCCCAAAUCGGGGAAAGAUCAAAUGCCGUGGGAUUUUCGCACUCUUUUUUUUUUUACACCCCUCAAAUUUGCGCCAACAAUAUUUUAUGGAAACACUUCUACAACUCUUGGGGUUGCUCUGCGUAUAAAUACAAAAUAGCAUCGCGGGUGUGUUCCUUAUCC
rnacentral:rRNA from 1 species